rnacentral:rRNA from 1 species
GAUGAACGCUGGCGGCGUGCCUAAUACAUGCAAGUCGAGCGAACGGACGAGAAGCUUGCUUCUCUGAUGUUAGCGGCGGAAGGGUGAGUAAAACGUGGAUAACCUACCUAUAAGACUGGGAUAACUUCGGGAAACCGGAGCUAAUACCGGAUAAUAUCUUGAACCGCAUGGUUCAAAAGUGAAAGACGGUCUUGCUGUCACUUAUAGAUGGAUCCGCGCUGCAUUAGCUAGUUGGUAAGGUAACGGCUUACCAAGGCAACGAUGCAUAGCCGACCUGAGAGGGGGAUCUGCCACACUGGAACUGAGACACGGUCCAGACUCCUACGGGAGGCAGCAGUAGGGAAUCUUCCGCAAGGGGCGAAAGCCUGACGGUGCAACGCCGCGUGAGUGAUGAAGGGCUUCGGAUCGUAAAACUCUGUUAUUAGGGAAGAACAUAUGUGUAAGUAACUGUGCACAUCGUGACGGUACCUAAUCAGAAAGCCACGGCUAACUACGUG